AAAGCUGAGUGGGAAGGGGCUUCACACAAAGAUCAGGAAAGCUUGACGUAUGGCUAGUGAACUUUAGGAGGGAGAGGUACUGGGAUGUGGCUCAACCAGAGAAAAUCCCAGGCCCAUAGCUACAUGAAGACUGGUCUCUGUCCUCAAGUUGCUUACAGUUUGCAGGUGCUACACCAAUGGGUAUCAUUUGUAUCUCACAUAGGCCCUUCGUGGCCUUCCUCCUGAGGCUUCCUGACUUCCCACAGCUGCCCUGCUUUGUUCCCCGACACACCAGGACACAGCAGCCGGCAGGAGCCAGAGACCAAUCAGUAUUUGAUAAAGAUAAAUCUGUGCUCAGAACUGGAACAGAUGUUUAGCCAAUUAGGAAAUGAAACCCUCUGUUGAAGUAGUUCUGCUUCCAUCUGAGGACUUUGGAUUGAGCUGUUAAAAGGACUCAUUUCUUCAAAAAUGCUUUGCAGAAUCUAUCAAAGCAAGGAACGUUUCACCCUGCAGGACAACGAGCCAGAGCCUUGCAUACCAGGGGCAGGCAUUAGACCACACCCGCUUUGACUGUUAGACUCAUCUGCAGUGCUUGUGCCACUAGUGAGAUGCGCCUAAUGGGGGAGUUCAUCCCCCACCUCACCCUGGUGUGUUAUAAAAGGGUAAACUGAUGCUAAAAGCUACCUCAAGAAGAUGCCUGGAGCAGGGUUCAAGAUCAAUCUAGCUUUUAGUCUCAGCCAUAAACCAUCUGAGCUUUGGGAGGAGUAUGGAUCUCCAGGAACCAGAAGAGCUGCAUACAUAUGCCCAACAAUUCAGCGACAGCACCAUCAGCCCAGAUGGGGGUUGUGAGCAAAGUCCGAGAUGGUCAGAAGGAAACGAGAACCUGGGAGGUGGCGAGUGUCCACUGCUCUAGUCUCAGGACAGCCUGCUCUGUUAAAGCACCUGGUCCUUCUUCCUGAAGACUUCAGUCCCACCUUGCAUUAUGUUUUGUUCUGUGUAUGUGCGUGUCUAUCUCUCCUGCUAACUGCUGAGCUUGCUAAGGAAAGGAACCUUGUUUUAUGAAAUAAAUGAUAUUUAUGAGC
rnacentral:lncRNA from 1 species